rnacentral:tRNA from 1 species
GGGGAUUUAGCUCAGUGGUAGAGCGCUUGCCUAGCAAGCGCAAGGCCCUGGGUUCUGUCCCCAGCCCCG